rnacentral:rRNA from 1 species
GACGAACGCUGGCGGCGUGCUUAACACAUGCAAGUCGAGCGGUAAGGCCCUUUCGGGGGUACACGAGCGGCGAACGGGUGAGUAACACGUGGGUGACCUGCCCUCAGCUCUGGGAUAAGCCUGGGAAACUGGGUCUAAUACCGGAUAUGACUCCAUGACGCAUGUUGUGGGGUGGAAAGCCUUGUGCAGCUGAGGAUGGGGCCCGCGGCCUAUCAGCUUGNGGUGGGGUGAUGGCCUACCAAGGCGACGACGGGUAGCCGGCCUGAGAGGGCGACCGGCCACACUGGGACUGAGACACGGCCCAGACUCCUACGGGAGGCAGCAGUGGGGAAUCUUGCGCAAUGGGCGAAAGCCUGACGCAGCGACGCCGCGUGAGGGAUGACGGCCU